rnacentral:rRNA from 1 species
AACGAACGCUGGCGGCGUGCCUAACACAUGCAAGUCGAGCGCGAAUGGAGCAAUCCUAGUAGCGCGGCGAACGGGUGCGUAACACGUGGGUAAUCUGCCUAGAAGACUGGAAUAACCUGCCGAAAGGCUGGCUAAUACCGGAUAAGACCACAGAGUCUUCGGACUCCGAGGGAAAAUGGUGGCCUCUGUAUACAAGCUAUCACUUCUAGAUGAGCCCGCGGCCCAUCAGCUAGUUGGCGGGGUAAUGGCCCACCAAGGCAACGACGGGUAGCUGGUCUGAGAGGACGAUCAGCCACACUGGAACUGAGACACGGUCCAGACUCCUACGGGAGGCAGCAGUGGGGAAUUUUGCACAAUGGGCGAAAGCCUGAUGCAGCAACGCCGCGUGUGUGAUGAAGGUCUUCGGAUUGUAAAGCACUUUCGAUCGGGACGAACACCUGUUGGCCAACAUCCAACAGCCUGACGGUACCGGGAGAAGAAGCACCGGCUAACUCUGUGCCAGCCGCCGCAGUAAUAC